GGUCAGGAUGAUUAUUGGGCCUAAAGCAUCCGUAGCCGGCUCAGUAAGUUUUCGGUUAAAUCUGUACGCUUAACGUACAGGCUGCCGGGAAUACUGCAGAGCUAGGGAGUGGGAGAGGUAGACGGUACUCGGGAGGAAGUGGUAAAAUGCUUUGAUCUUUCGAUGACCACCUGUGGCGAAGGCGGUCUACCAGAACACGUCCGACGGUGAGGGAUGAAAGCUGGGGGAGCAAACCGGAUUAGAUACCCGGGUAGUCCCAGCUGUAAACUAUGCAAACUCAGUGAUGCAUUGGCUUUGAGGCCAAUGCAGUGUUGCAGGGAAGCCGUUAAGUUUGCCGCCUGGGAAGUACGUACGCAAGUAUGAAACUUAAAGGAAUUGGCGGGGGAGCACCACAAGGGGUGAAGCCUGCGGUUCAAUUGGAGUCAACGCCAGAAAUCUUACCCGGAGAGACAGCAGAAUGAAGGUCAAGCUGAAGACUUUACCAGACAAGCUGAGAGGUGGUGCAUGGCCGUCGCCAGCUCGUGCCGUGAGAUGUCCUGUUAAGUCAGGUAACGAGCGAGAUCCCUGCCUCUAGUUGCCACCAUUACUCUCAGGAGUAGUGGGGCGAAUUAGCGGGACCGCCGCAGUUAAUGCGGAGGAAGGAAGGGGCCACGGCAGGUCAGUAUGCCCCGAAACUCUGGGGCCACACGCGGGCUGCAAUGGUAAUGACAAUGGGUCCCGAAUCCGAAAGGAAGAGGUAAUCCUCAAACAUUACCACAGUUAUGACUGAGGGCUGCAACUCGCCCUCACGAAUAUGGAAUCCCUAGUAACUGCGUGUCAUUAUCGCGCGGUGAAUACGUCCCUGCUCCUUGCACACACCGCCCGU
rnacentral:rRNA from 1 species